rnacentral:rRNA from 1 species
GUGGGGAAUAUUGCGCAAUGGAGGCAACUCUGACGCAGCCAUGCCGCGUGCAGGAAGAAGGCGCUACGCGUUGUAAACUGCUUUUAACCGGGAAGAAACCCCAGGACGUGUCCCGGGUUGACGGUACCGGAGGAAUAAGCACCGGCUAACUUCGUGCCAGCAGCCGCGGUAAUACGAAGGGUGCAAGCGUUAUCCGGAUUCAUUGGGUUUAAAGGGUGCGUAGGCGGAGCGUUAAGUCAGUGGUGAAAUCCUGCAGCUUAACUGUAGACUUGCCAUUGAUACUGGCGCUCUUGAGUGCGCUUGAAGUGGGCGGAAUGUGCCGUGUAGCGGUGAAAUGCUUAGAUAUGGCACAGAACACCAAUUGCGAAGGCAGCUCACUAAGGCGAUACUGACGCUGAGGCACGAAAGCGUGGGGAUCGAACAGGAUUAGAAACCCGAGUAGUCC